CCGCACAACGAUCCGCCAGCCUACGUUUGAAGGACUCUAAACGUCGAAACGUCUUUCAGCGGAAAGAGAAAGGUACAAGUCAAAACAAUUGUAAACAGAACGCGUGCGGGUGAAAAUUUCUAAAUUGAUUUGUUUAAAUUGGUAAUGUUUGUCGUGAUUGAAAUUAUUUUCUGUAAAGAACUGUCGGAGAUCCAUUUCUGAAACAACUCCGACAUUGUUGGUCAGCAGAAAAGAAAAGCCAGUGCUUUAUAAAGGCCACUGAUUUGUAGGUUAUUUAUAAGUACAUUAUUGAAUACAAUGAUUAUGUUCUUGC